GCUGAGGUAGCUUAGCCAGGUACGGCGCCGGCCUUGAGAGCCGGUGGUGCUCGACACCACGGGGGUUCGAAUCCCUCCCUCAGCG
rnacentral:tRNA from 1 species